rnacentral:rRNA from 1 species
AGCGAACGCUGGCGGCAGGCCUAACACAUGCAAGUCGAACGAACUCUUCGGAGUUAGUGGCGGACGGGUGAGUAACACGUGGGAACGUGCCUUUAGGUUCGGAAUAACUCAGGGAAACUUGUGCUAAUACCGAAUGUGCCCUUCGGGGGAAAGAUUUAUCGCCUUUAGAGCGGCCCGCGUCUGAUUAGCUAGUUGGUGAGGUAAAGGCUCACCAAGGCGACGAUCAGUAGCUGGUCUGAGAGGAUGAUCAGCCACAUUGGGACUGGGACACGGCCCAAACUCCUACGGGAGGCAGCAGUGGGGAAUCUUGCGCAAUGGGCGAAAGCCUGACGCAGCCAUGCCGCGUGAAUGAUGAAGGUCUUAGGAUUGUAAAAUUCUUUCACCGGGGACGAUAAUGACGGUACCCGGAGAAGAAGCCCCGGCUAACUUCGU